GAUGAAGAACGCAGCGAAAUGCGAUAAGUAAUGCGAAUUGCAGAAUUUCCGUGAAUCAUCGAAUCUUUGAACGCACAUUGCGCCCGCCAGUAUUCUGGCGGGCAUGCCUGUUCGAGCGUCAUUACAACCCUCAGGCCCCCGGGCCUGGCGUUGGGGAUCGGCGGAGCCCCCCGUGGGCACACGCCGUCCCCCAAAUGCAGUGGCGGUCCCGCCGCAGCUUCCAUCGCGUAGUAGCUAACACCUCGCGACUGGAGAGCGGCGCGGCCACGCCGUAAAACACCCAACUCUUCUGAAGUUGACCUCGAAUCAGGUAGGAAUACCCGCUGAACUUAAGCAUAUCAAUAAGCGGAGGA
rnacentral:misc_RNA from 1 species